rnacentral:rRNA from 1 species
GAAUUUGAUAUAGAUUUAAUGAAAGAUUUAAAUUUAUAUAUAUUGAAUUUAUAUUUUAUUGGGAGGAUAGUUAAAUUAAGUAAACUUUAAAAAUUAAAGUCCAUUAAUUUAUGAGUUAAUGUUUAAAGAAUGAUAAUAGAUAAUUUUGGAAGAAUUAAUUACCUUAGGGAUAACAGCGUUAUAUUUUUAGAGAGAUCUUAUUAAUAAAAAUGUUUGC